AAUCCGUAACUUCGGAAUAAGGAUUGGUUCUGAGGAGCGGGGCGUGUCGGGCUUGGUCGGAAAGCGAGUCUGGCUGACGUGCCGGACCUGGGCGAGGUGAACGUUCCGGUGUUCUCGUGCCGGUUCCGGGAUCCGAGUUCGGUCCGUACCUUGGCCUCCCACGGAUCUUCCUUGCUGAGAGGCUUCCGUGGCGGCGCGAGCCGUCGUGGUCGUCCUCUUCGGCCGCUAUUCAACGCUCAGCUCAGAAUUGGCACGGACAAGGGGAAUCUGACUGUCUAAUUAAAACAAAGCAUUGCCCUCAAGGGUGUUGACGCAAUGAUGAUUUCUGCCCAGUGCUCUGAAUGUCAACGUGAAGAAAUUCAAGUAAGCGCGGGUAAAUGGCUAAAGUAACUAUGACUCUCUUAAGGGAACACGCCGCCGCUAUUUCCAAAAAUAAUAUGCUGCGGAAAGCAACGACGCCC
rnacentral:ncRNA from 1 species